GUUGAACGCUAGCUCCAGGCUUAACACCUGCAAGUCGAGGGACCGGCGCACGGGUGAGUAACACGUAUCCAACCUGCCCUUUACUCGGGGAUAGCCUUUCGAAAGAAAGAUUCCUACCCGAUAUAAAGGAUGGGGAUGCGUUCAAUUAGGUUGUUGUUGAGGUAACGGCCCACCAAGCCUUCGAUGGAUAGGGGUUCUGAGAGGAAGGGCCCCCACAUUGGAACUGAGACACGGUCCAAACUCCGACGGGAGGAAGCAGUGAGGAAUAUUGGUCAAUGGGCGUGAGCCUGAACCAGCCAAGUAGCGUGAAGGAUGAAGGCUUAUGGGUCGUAAACUUCGUUUAUAUAAGAAGAGGUAUUAUAUGAAUAAGGAUCGGCUAACUCCGUGCCAGCAGCCGCGGUAAUAC
rnacentral:rRNA from 1 species